UGGAGAAAGGACAGAGCCUAACUGACCAGCUUAGCACCUUAGAGGUAGGCCUUAUGGAUUGUAGGCCACUCCACUUCUGUCCUAGCUCUUUGCUUCCUGAUUGAUGCCAUGUGAGAAGUCUUUACCUUAGUUCUUUUUACCAUGGCUGCAGGUGACCCCAUCUGUGUCUCUUCUGUGCCAUAUAGAACACAUCCCCUGACCCAUGAGACAAAAUAAAUCUCUCCUCUCCCAAGCUGCUUCUGUAAGGUGUUUGCUCAUAGCAUCAUAAGAAUAACUGAUAUGGGCAAUGGUUUGGCUCACGGGCCACCUUAAUCUGCUGGCCACUGUCCUAGAUCAUCAAUGUGAGUUAACAUCAGACAAAGAGAGGGUCCAGCAAGACAGCUCAGUGAAUAAAAGUGCUUGCUGCCAUGCCUGCCAAACUGAAUUUCAUCCCUGGGACCAACACAGUGGAUAGAGAGAACUGACUCUGAAAUGUCCUCUGAUCAUAUGUGCCUUGGCCUGUGAAUGCACAUGAGAAGGAGAAAGAAAGACUCUCCUCAACUUCCUGUUUCAUGAAGGAUCUGCAGCUUCACUUGGGACCAUUUUAAUACAUGUCACAGUUACAUUUCUCACUUCUGUGAUACGAUAUCUGGCAAGCAACUUGAAGAAGAAAUGGUUUAUUUUGGCUCAGAGUUCAAGGGUUCAGUCCAUCAUAGCAGGAAGUCGUAGAAGGAACAUGAAGCAGCUAUCUAACAAAUUACAUCUACAAUCAGGAAGAAGAAAAGAAGAAAAGUUUGCGGUUUCUCUUUUUGCUUAUUUUUGGGUGUUGUUGUUUGGUUUAGUUUGGUUUGGUUGUUUUCUGUGUGUGUGUUUUAUUUUGUCUUGUUUUGUUUUAUCUUUGGCUUUGGGUUGUUUUGUUUCAGAGAAUUUCAUAAGAGCCUCCCCCACUUCCCUAUCACCCAACUAUCCAGUUUCAUCUCCAAUCUCCUGCUCUUUCCUCUCUCCUCUCUCCUCUCUCCUUUCUCCUCUCUCCUCUCCCUUUUCUUCUCUCUCUCUCUCUCUCUCUCUCUCUCUCUCUCUCUCUCUCUCUCUCUCUCCUCUUCCACUCUCUGUCUCCUCACUUUCUCUCUCCCCAACUGUUUGUGCUGGAUGACUACUCCUAGGUAUAUAUUCUACCCUAAAGUAUCAUCAGUAUCCCAGAGAUCAUACCAUUAAAGGAAACUGACUUCCCAUUUCUCAGCAGAAAUCAAGUGUUCCUCAGCUAGCUUAGGGUAAAAUUUCAUGUCCACCUUCCAUCCACCAUGCUGGGAUUUUGUUUGUCUUGAGCUUAUAUAGGUCUUACACAUGUUAUCAAAAUUGCUGUGAUUUCAUAUAUACACUUUGGUGUCUGGAAAACACUGUUUUCUUGAGGUUAUCCAAUGCAUCUUGCUGUUAUAUUUCUGUUCCCUUUUCCACAUAAAUCCCUGAGUAUUGAGGAAACAGUUGUGAUAUACACAUUCCAUUUGAUCACAUUAUUUUUAUAUGCAGUCCAAAAUCGUAGGCAAGGGAAUGGUACAACCAACAAUGGAAAGAUCUUUCCAACUCAAUUGUCUUAAUCAAGAUAAUAGGCCAUAGGCAUGACCAAAGGUCCAUCUCUUAGAUUUAUCUAGAUAUUAACAAUAUGUGGGCCUUCUGGGUUCCAUCUGCACCCAGAGCUGAACCUGUGCUACAGCUCUCUGUACCCAGAUCCUGCCAGGAAAGAGCUGGUCUCCCAAAGCUGUGUACACACAGACUUACAAGAGUGUCAAGUCACUGUCAAAGACAGUAAGACCAGCUAACACCAGAAUUAACAAGAUGGUGAGAAGCAAGUGCAAGACCUAAGCAACAGAAACCAAGACUACUUGGCAUCAUGAGAACCCAGUUCUCCCACCAAAGCAAGUCCUGGAUACCAAAGCACACCAGAAAAAUGACUUAAAAUCACACCUCAUGAUGAUGUUAGAGGACUUUAAGAAGGACAUAAAUAACUCCCUUAGAGAAAUACAGGACAACACAGGUAAACAGGUAGAAGCCCUUAAAGAGGAAACACAAAAAUCCCUUAACAAAUUACAGGAAAACAAAACCAAACAGGUGAAGGAAUUGAACAAAAUCAUACAAGGUCCAAAAAUUGAAAUAGAAACAAUAGAGAAAUCACAAAGGGAAACAGCCAUGGAGAUAGAAACCUAGAAAAGAGAUCAGGAGUCAUAGACACAAGCAUCACCAACAGAAUACAAGAGAUAGAAGAGAGACUCUCAGGGGCAGAAGAUACCAUAGAAACAUUGACACAACAGUAAAAGAAAUUGCAAAAUGCAAAAAGCAUCUAGCCCAAAAUAUCUAGUACACAAUGAGAGGAUCAAUCCUAAGGAUAAUAGGUAUAGAAGAGAGCAAAGAUUCCCAAUUUAAAGGACCAGUAAAUAGCUUCACCAAAAUUAUAGAAGAAAACGUCCAUAACCUAAAGAAAGAGAUGCCCAUAAACAUACAAGAAGCCUACAGAUCUCCAAAUAGAUUGGACCAGAAAAGUAAUUCCUCCUGUCACACAAUAGUCAAAAUACCAAAUGCACAAAACAAAGAAAAAAAUAUUAAAAGCAGAAAGGAAAAAGUCAGGUAACAUAUAAAAGUAGACCUAUCAGAAUUAUACCAGAUUUUUCAACAGAGACUAUGAAAGCUAGAAGCUCCUGGGCAGAUGUCACAAAUACCCUAAGAGCAUACAAAGGUUAGCCCUGGCUACUAUAUCCAGCAAAACUCUAUAUUAACAUAGAUGAAGAAACCAAGAUAUUCCAUGACAAAACCAAAUUUACAUAAUAUAUUUCCACAUAUCCACCCAUACAAAGGAUAGUAGAUGGAAAACUCCAAAACAAGGAGGUAAUUUACAACCUAGAAAAAGCAAGAAAGUUCUCUGCACCCAAAUCCCGUGGGAGGGAGAGCUAAACCUUCAGAGAGGCAGACAAGCCUGGGAAACCAGAAGAGACUGCUCUCUGCACACACAUCUCGGACGCCAGAGGAAAACACCAAAGGCCAUCUGGAACCCUGGUGCACUGAAGCUCCCAGAAGGGGCGGCACAGGUCUUCCUGGUUGCUGCCGCUGCAGAGAGCCCCUGGGCAGCACCCCACGAGCGAACCUGAGCCUCGGGACCAUAGGUAAGACCAACUUGUAUGCUGCAAGUGACCUGCCUGGUGAACUCAAGACACAGGCCCACAGGAACAGCUAAAGACCUGUACAGAGGAAAAACUACACGCACGAAAGCAGAACACUCUGUCCCCAUAACUGGCUGAAAGAAAACAGUAAAACAUGUCUACAGCACUCCUGACACACAGGCUUAUAGGACAGUCUAGCCACUGUCAGAAAUAGCAGAACAAAGUAACACUAGAGAUAAUCUGAUGGCGAGAGGCAAGCGCAAGAACCCAAGCAACAGAAACCAAGACUACAUGGCAUCAUCGGAGCCCAAUUCUCCCACCAAAACAAACAUGGAAUGUCCAAACACACCAGAAAAGCAAGAUCUAGUUUCAAAAUCAUAUUUGAUCAUGAUGCUGGAGGACUUCAAGAAAGACAUGAAGAACUCCCUUAGAGAAACACAGGAAAACAUUAAUAAACAAGUAGAAGCCUACAGAGAGGAAUCGCAAAAAUGCCUGAAAGAAUUCCAGGAAAAUAUAAAUAAACAAGUAGAAGCCCAUAGAGAGGAGACACAAAAAUCCCUGAAAGAAUAUCAGGAAAUCAUAAAUAAACAAGUAGAAGCCCAUAGAGAGGAGUCAUAAAAAUCCCUGAAAGAAUUCCAGGAAAACACAAUCAAACAGUUGAAGGAAUUAAAAAUGGAAAUAGAAGCAAUCAAGAAAGAACACAUGGAAACAACCCUGGAUAUACAAAACCAAAAGAAGAGACAAGGAGCUGUAGAUACAAGGUUCACCAACAGAAUACAAGAGAUGGAAGAGAGAAUCUCAGGAGCAGAAGAUUCCAUAGAAAUCAUUGACUCAACUGUCAAAGAUAAUAUAAAGCAGAAAAAGCUACUGGUCCAAAACAUACAGGAAAUCCAGGACUCAAUGAGAAGAUCAAACCUAAGGAUAAUAAUAAGUGAAGACUCCCAGCUCAAAGGACCAGUAAAUAUCUUCAACAAAAUCAUAGAAGAAAACUUCCCUAACCUAAAAAAAGAGAUACCCAUAGGCAUACAAGAAGCCUACAGAACUCCAAAUACAUUGGACCAGAAAAGAAACACCUCCCGUCACAUAAUAGUCAAAACACCAAACGCACAAAAUAAAGAAAGAAUAUUAAAAGCAGUAAGGGAAAAAGGUCAAGUAACAUAUAAAGGCAGACCUAUCAGAAUUACACCAGACUUCUCGCCAGAAACUAUGAAGGCCAGAAGAUCCUGGACUGAUGUCAUACAGACCCUAAGAGAACACAAAUGCCAGCC